AAAAAGACAAACUCUAGAUUUCCGUGUCCAACUUUGACUGUCCGUCUUAUAUGAAAUUAUUUUAUAAUUUGAAUUUUUAUUGUUGUUAGAUGAUAAAACAUGAUUAAUAUUUUAUGCGUAACUUGUCUUUUUAAUUUUUUUAUAAUUUUUUUAAAUAAGACGGAUGGUCAAAAGUUGGACACGGAAAUCAGGGUU
rnacentral:pre_miRNA from 1 species